GCGUGCCUAAUACAUGCAAGUCGAGCGAACGGACGAGAAGCUUGCUUCUCUGAUGUUAGCGGCGGACGGGUGAGUAACACGUGGAUAACCUACCUAUAAGACUGGGAUAACUUCGGGAAACCGGAGCUAAUACCGGAUAAUAUUUUGAACCGCAUGGUUCAAAAGUGAAAGACGGUCUUGCUGUCACUUAUAGAUGGAUCCGCGCUGCAUUAGCUAGUUGGUAAGGUAACGGCUUACCAAGGCAACGAUGCAUAGCCGACCUGAGAGGGUGAUCGGCCACACUGGAACUGAGACACGGUCCAGACUCCUACGGGAGGCAGCAGUAGGGAAUCUUCCGCAAUGGGCGAAAGCCUGACGGAGCAACGCCGCGUGAGUGAUGAAGGUCUUCGGAUCGUAAAACUCUGUUAUUAGGGAAGAACAUAUGUGUAAGUAACUGUGCACAUCUUGACGGUACCUAAUCAGAAAGCCACGGCUAACUACGUGCCAGCAGCCGCGGUAAUACGUAGGUGGCAAGCGUUAUCCGGAAUUAUUGGGCGUAAAGCGCGCGUAGGCGGUUUUUUAAGUCUGAUGUGAAAGCCCACGGCUCAACCGUGGAGGGUCAUUGGAAACUGGAAAACUUGAGUGCAGAAGAGGAAAGUGGAAUUCCAUGUGUAGCGGUGAAAUGCGCAGAGAUAUGGAGGAACACCAGUGGCGAAGGCGA
rnacentral:rRNA from 1 species